UCAGAUCAGAAGCGAGAAUGUUGACAUGAGUAGCGAUAGACAGAGUGAGAGACUCUGCCGCCGAAAGUCCGAGGGUUCCUGCUUAAAGCUAAUCUGAGCAGGGUGAGCCGACCCCUAAGGCGAGGCCGAAAGGCGUAGUCGAUGGGAAGCAGGUUAAUAUUCCUGCGCCAGGAGGAUGUGACGGAUCCCGGAAGCUGUUCAAUCUUAUCGGAUUGAUUGGGCAGCCUGGGGGUCCCUGGAAAUAGCCCUCCGUAAGAUCGUACCCUAAACCGACACAGGUGGACUGGUAGAGUAUACCAAGGCGCUUGAGAGAACGAUGUUGAAGGGACUCGGCAAAAUACCUCCGUAAGUUCGCGAGAAGGAGGCCCCAUUCGCAGGCAACUGUGGGUGGGGGGCACAAACUAGGGGGUGGCGACUGUUUACUUAAAACACAGGGCUGUGCGAAGCCGUAAGACGACGUAUACAGUCUGACGCCUGCCCGGUGCUGGAAGGUUAAAGGGAGGGGUGCAAGCUCCGAACUGAAGCCCCAGUAAACGGCGGCCGUAACGAUAACGGUCCUAAGGUAGCGAAAUUCCUUGUCGGGUAAGUUCCGACCUGUACGAAUGGCGUAACGAUCUCCCCGCUGUCUCCAACAUCGACUCAGCGAAAUUGAACUGUCUGUCAAGAUGCAGACUUCCCGCGGUUAGACGGAAAGACCCCAUGCACCUUUACUCUAGCUUCGCAUUGGCAUCAGGCCAGGCAUGUGCAGGAUAGGUGGUAGGCUUUGAAGCCGGAACGCUAGUUUCGGUGGAGCCAUCCUUGAGAUACCACCCUUGCCUUGCUUGAUGUCUAACCGCGGUCCCUUACCGGGAUCCGGGACCUUGCGUGGUGGGGAGUUUGACUGGGGCGGUCGCCUCCUAAAGUGUAACGGAGGCGCGCGAAGGUUGGCUCAGAGCGGUCGGAAAUCGCUCGUUGAGUGCAAUGGCAGAAGCCAGCCUGACUGCAAGACUGACAAGUCGAGCAGAGUCGAAAGACGGCCAUAGCGAUCCGGUGGUUCCACGUGGGUGGGCCAUCGCUCAACGGAUAAAAGGUACGCUGGGGAUAACAGGCUGAUGGUGCCCAAGAGUCCAUAUCGACGGCACCGUUUGGCACCUCGAUGUCGGCUCAUCUCAUCCUGGGGCUGGAGCACGUCCCAAGGGUAUGGCUGUUCGCCAUUUAAAGAGGUACGUGAGCUGGGUUCAGAACGUCGUGAGACAGUUCGGUCCCUAUCUGCCGUGGGUGUAGGAGAUUUGAGAAGAGUUGCCCCUAGUACGAGAGGACCGGGGUGAACGUUCCACUGGUGGACCAGUUGUCGUGCCAACGGCAGUGCUGGGUAGCUAUGAACGGACAGGAUAACCGCUGAAGGCAUCUAAGCGGGAAGCCCCCUUCAAAACAAGAUCUCCCUGAGGGCCGUGGAAGACCACCACGUCGAUAGGCCGGAGAUGUAAGCGCAGCAAUGCGUUCAGUUGACCGGUACUAAUUGCCC
rnacentral:rRNA from 1 species